UGGCGGACGGGUGAGUAAUGUCUGGGAAACUGCCUGAUGGAGGGGGAGUAACUACUGGAAACGGUAGCUAAUACCGCAUAACGUCGCAAGACCAAAGAGGGGGACCUUCGGGCCUCUUGCCAUCAGAUGUGCCCAGAUGGGAUUAGCUAGUAGGUGGGGUAACGGCUCACCUAGGCGACGAUCCCUAGCUGGUCUGAGAGGAUGACCAGCCACACUGGAACUGAGACACGGUCCAGACUCCUACGGGAGGGCAGCAUG
rnacentral:rRNA from 1 species